rnacentral:tRNA from 1 species
GCCGGGGUGGCAGAACCCGGUCAUUGCGCUGGUCUCGAAAUAGCCUAACGCCCACUUGGGGCUGCAAAACGGCUUUCAAGAAAACCAGUGGACGCAAGUCCUUACGAGUUCAAAUCUCGUCCCCGGCG